GACGAACGCUGGCGGCGCGCCUAACACAUGCAAGUCGAACGGAGCUUAGAGAGCUUGCUUUUUAAGCUUAGUGGCGAACGGGUGAGUAACGCGUGAGUAACCUGCCCUAGAGUGGGGGACAACAGUUGGAAACGACUGCUAAUACCGCAUAAGCCCACGGCACCGCAUGGUACUGAGGGAAAAGGAUUUAUUCGCUUUAGGAUGGACUCGCGUCCAAUUAGCUAGUUGGUGAGGUAACGGCCCACCAAGGCGACGAUUGGUAGCCGGACUGAGAGGUUGAACGGCCACAUUGGGACUGAGACACGGCCCAGACUCCUACGGGAGGCAGCAGUGGGGGAUAUUGCACAAUGGGGGAAACCCUGAUGCAGCGACGCCGCGUGGAGGAAGAAGGUUUUCGGAUUGUAAACUCCUGUCGAUAGGGACGAUAAUGACGGUACCUAACAAGAAAGCACCGGCUAACUACGUGCCAGCCGCCGCAGUAACAC
rnacentral:rRNA from 1 species